GAUGAACGCUGGCGGCGUGCCUAAUACAUGCAAGUCGAGCGAACGGACGAGAAGCUUGCUUCUCUGAUGUUAGCGGCGGACGGGUGAGUAACACGUGGAUAACCUACCUGUAAGACUGGGAUAACUUCGGGAAACCGGAGCUAAUACCGGAUGAUAUUUUGAACCGCAUGGUUCAAAAGUGAAAGACGGUCUUGCUGUCACUUAUAGAUGGAUCCGCGCUGCAUUAGCUAGUUGGUAAGGUAACGGCUUACCAAGGCAACGAUGCAUAGCCGACCUGAGAGGGUGAUCGGCCACACUGGAACUGAGACACGGUCCAGACUCCUACGGGAGGCAGCAGUAGGGAAUCUUCCGCAAUGGGCGAAAGCCUGACGGAGCAACGCCGCGUGAGUGAUGAAGGUCUUCGGAUCGUAAAACUCUGUUAUUAGGGAAGAACAUAUGUGUAGGUAACUGUGCACAUCUUGACGGUACCUAAUCAGAAAGCCACGGCUAACUACGUG
rnacentral:rRNA from 1 species